rnacentral:lncRNA from 1 species
AGGGGCCUCUGAGCGGUGGAAAUCCACAGUAAGAUGCCUCCUGUCUUAAAGGGUCUAAUUGCAGAGCGAAUUUCCAUGCCUGGGACAAGGCGUGAAGCCGGGUGUCACCACUGGAGCGCAGCAGUGCUCAGCGCAGUGCCUGCGGGCCAGGACGUGCAGGUCGCCCAUGGACCCACCACAGAUCAUCCUGCGCAGUCACCACCCCGCGCUGACACCUCGCUCCCUGUGGAGCUGCUUCUGGAGGUGUUUUUGCAGGCUCCGUUCAGCAACUUCUGCAUCUGUGCCUGCCUCCCCAAACGUUGGUGAAACCGGAGAACAGCAUCCCAUACGCAGCCUUUGCACAUCCCGUACAGCUUAUUUCUUCUUGGCUUCUCCAUUGCUCAGAAGGAGCUGGGGAGACUGUCUUUUUAUAGGGAUGAGGAUUUCUUAUCGCCCUGGAGAAACCAAAGGGUCCAGGGUGCCCUGCCAGCUCUUGCGACACUGUGGAAGAACGCAGACCCUCCUGGGGUGAGGAAGCAGUGAGGAGACAGAGCUGUCGGGCUGCUGUGGAAAGGUGUGUGAUGCUUCAGGAGCCAGGCUGAAGGGGAAAAGCAGAGCUUGCACUAGUUUCAGGUUCUCCAUAAUGAGGUAUUUAAAAAUAAUAAUAAUAAUAAAAAAGCCUGCUGUCACA